UACGGAGGGUGCGAGCGUUGUCCGGAAUCAUUGGGCGUAAAGGGCGCGUAGGUGGCCCGGUCAGUUCGUGGUGAAAGCGCGGGGCUCAACCCUGCGUCGGCCAUGAAUACUGCCGCGGCUGGAGCACUGUAGAGGCAGGCGGAAUUCCGGGUGUAGCGGUGGAAUGCGUAGAGAUCCGGAAGAACACCGGUGGCGAAGGCGGCCCGCUGGGCAGAGACUGACGCUGAGGCGCGACAGCGUGGGGAGCAAACAGG
rnacentral:rRNA from 1 species